GGGCGUGUGGCUCAGUUGGUAGAGCGCCCGCUUAGCAUUGAUACCUACUUUAGUUAUUCUUCAUGACUGAGUAGGGUAUAUCCUGCGGAAGGUCCCCGGUUCGAUUCCGGGCUCGUCCA